AGGGUUUGCUUAGAGCAGGGCAGUUGAAGAGUGGAUCCUCUGUUUACAACACACCAAACAGGAAUCUGGGGUCAUUGUGACAAGGGGCACAAAACUUGUGUCCUCCCUACAUGUGAAAAAAAAAAAAAG
ensembl:snoRNA